GAUGAACGCUGGCGGCAGGCCUAACACAUGCAAGUCGAACGAUCCUUCGGGAUAGUGGCGGACGGGUGAGUAACACGUGGGAACGUGCCUUUUGGUUCGGAAUAACUCAGGGAAACUUGAGCUAAUACCGGAUGUGCCCUUCGGGGGAAAGAUUUAUCGCCAUUAGAGCGGCCCGCGUCUGAUUAGCUAGUUGGUAGGGUAAAGGCCUACCAAGGCUACGAUCAGUAGCUGGUCUGAGAGGAUGAUCAGCCACACUGGGACUGAGACACGGCCCAGACUCCUACGGGAGGCAGCAGUGGGGAAUCUUGCGCAAUGGGCGAAAGCCUGACGCAGCCAUGCCGCGUGAAUGAUGAAGGUCUUUGGAUUGUAAAAUUCUUUCACCGGGGACGAUAAUGACGGUACCCGGAGAAGAAGCCCCGGCUAACUUCGUGCCAGCCGCCGCGGUAA
rnacentral:rRNA from 1 species